rnacentral:rRNA from 1 species
UACGUAGGGGGCAAGCGUUGUCCGGAAUCAUUGGGCGUAAAGAGCGUGUAGGCGGCUCGGUAAGUCCGCUGUGAAAGUCCAGGGCUCAACCCUGGAAUGCCGGUGGAAACUGUCGAGCUAGAGUCCGGAAGAGGCGAGUGGAAUUCCUGGUGUAGCGGUGAAAUGCGCAGAUAUCAGGAGGAACACCGGUGGCGAAGGCGGGUCUCUGGGCCAAAACUGACGCUGAGGAGCGAAAGCGUGGGGAGCGAACAGG